CCUUGCCAACUCAGAAAAGCUUGGGGGGGGGGGUUUAAUCUCGUGAGACGUUUUAUUAUGAAUUUACAUUUUGUCGUCUUAUUCUGAAAUUGAUUUAUAGAAGGGACGAACGGGAGGAGGGGUCACCAAACCUAAAAUGAACUUUUUUGUUGUUCAUGAACAUUGUGGUGCUGUGGUUAUGGAGAAUCAUGGGGAAAAGAGAGCAGUGACUCGUUAGACUCGGUGGCGGGAUAAUGUCGCAGUGUCUAAGGGUAGUACGUGCCAAAUAAAGGAUAAAUAAACGAUGGGGUAGAUUAAAACAAAUGUAAUGAUUGGAGUAAGGACAGUGGAUUUACCAUUAUCAUGUUUGGUUUAUUAUUAUUAAUACUUUUGGAUUGCUGAUCAAAAUGUACACUUUCUUUUCCAUGAAAAUGAGGGGGGUUCAUUAUCUCCCUUUGGAAUGUUCCCCGAGACUGUGGUAUUGGGGAGAGCAGUUAGUGAUAUUUGGCCGUUUUAAGUAUAAAAGUAUCUGGAUUAGGCCAUAAACGGAGUUGCCAGAUAAGGCCUGACCACGUGUGUGUUUUUGACUUCCGGUUUACCACACACACAUCAGCACGCACACACAAUUUAUCAGUUGUGAAUAUGGGUUAGUGGUGUUGAUACCGUGGGAUUUAUUGUGAGGGGUCUUUACAACUUGGUUUUAAAUUGGGUAUGCAGAAGGAUGGAAAUGUUUGAAAUGUUUUUAAAUGGUUUCUGAAGGACAGGGAAAGAAAAGGGAAAGGAAAUUCUUAAUGGUGUUGAAUGACCUGUGUCCUGACUUUCUGGUGAAGCCUGAUCAACCUCACUAGAAAUGAUCGAGACAGGGGAAAUGACCAGUUCCCUGGGGCCCUGGUCCUUGGAUUGGAUCUGCUGGAUUGUUGGGAUUCCCCCCAUGAGUUAGAGUGCUAACUCCCUGAUCUGGUAACUCUUCUGAGAAGUCGCCAGUAAAAUAAGACCUGAGCCCUAGGACCAUGCCUCAGGACUACCUGGUAUGAUGACUCCUUGCUGUCCCCAGUCCACCUGGCCG